GACGAACGCUGGCGGCGUGCUUAACACAUGCAAGUCGAACGGACAGACAGAGAGCUUGCUCUCUUGAAGUUAGUGGCGAACGGGUGAGUAACGCGUAACCAACCUGCCCUUCAGAGGGGGAUAACAACGGGAAACCGUUGCUAAUACCGCGUACGAUUCAUGAACGGCAUCGUUUAUGAAUGAAAGGUGGCCUCUAUGUAUAAGCUAUCGCUGAAGGAGGGGCUUGCGUCUGAUUAGCUAGUUGGAGGGGUAACGGCCCACCAAGGCAAUGAUCAGUAGCCGGUCUGAGAGGAUGAACGGCCACAUUGGGACUGAGACACGGCCCAAACUCCUACGGGAGGCAGCAGUGGGGAAUCUUCCGCAAUGGACGAAAGUCUGACGGAGCAGCGCCGCGUGAGUGAUGAAGGUCUUCGGAUUGUAAAGCUCUGUUAAUCGGGACGAAAGAGUUCUGCGUGAAUAAUGCAGAAAAGUGACGGUACCGGAAUAGAAAGCCACGGCUAACUACGUGCCAGCCGCCGCGGUAA
rnacentral:rRNA from 1 species